CAGUCGCCACGGGAAUACGGAGGGAGCUAGCGUUGUUCGGAAUUACUGGGCGUAAAGCGCGCGUAGGCGGUUACUCAAGUCAGAGGUGAAAGCCCGGGGCUCAACCCCGGAACUGCCUUUGAAACUAGGUGACUAGAAUCUUGGAGAGGUCAGUGGAAUUCCGAGUGUAGAGGUGAAAUUCGUAGAUAUUCGGAAGAACACCAGUGGCGAAGGCGACUGACUGGACAAGUAUUGACGCUGAGGUGCGAAAGCGUGGGGAGCAAACAGGAUUAGAGACCCCGGUAGUCCCUGUCUCUUAUAC
rnacentral:rRNA from 1 species